rnacentral:rRNA from 1 species
CCAGACUCCUACGGGAGGCAGCAGUGAGGGAUAUUGGUCAAUGGGGGAAACCCUGAACCAGCAACGCCGCGUGAGGGAAGACGGUUUUCGGAUUGUAAACCUCUGUCCUCUGUAAAGAUAAUGACGGUAGCAGAGGAGGAAGCUCCGGCUAACUACGUGCCAGCAGCCGCGGUAAUACGUAGGGAGCAAGCGUUGUCCGGAUUUACUGGGUGUAAAGGGUGCGUAGGCGGGCUUGCAAGUCAGCGGUAAAAAUGCGGUGCUAAACGCCGUCGAGCCGUUGAAACUGGCGUUCUUGAGUGGGCGAGAAGUAUGCGGAAUGCGUGGUGUAGCGGUGAAAUGCAUAGAUAUCACGCAGAACUCCGAUUGCGAAGGCAGCAUACCGGCGCCCUACUGACGCUGAGGCACGAAAGCGUGGGUAUCGAACAGGAUUAGAUACCCGAGUA